GGCCUCGUGGCCCGGUGGCAGGGCGUCUGACUACGAAUCAGGAGAUUCCGGGUUCGAUCCCCAGCGAGGUCA
rnacentral:tRNA from 1 species